ACGAACGCUGGCGGCGUGCUUAAUACAUGCAAGUCGAGCGGAAAGGUCUACUUCGGUAGAUACUCGAGCGGCGAACGGGUGCGUAACGCGUAAGUAAUCUACCCUUUGGACGGGGACAACCCCGAGAAAUCGGGGCUAAUACCGGAUAUGCUCACAGGAACUCAUGUUCCAGGGAGAAAAUCAGGCAACUGGCCAUAGGAAGAGCUUGCGUCCGAUUAGCUUGUUGGUAGGGUAAUGGCCUACCAAGGCGACGAUCGGUAGCUGGUUUGAGAGGACGACCAGCCACACUGGGACUGAGAUACGGCCCAGACUCCUACGGGAGGCAGCAGUAGGGAAUAUUGCUCAAUGGGCGAAAGCCUGAAGCAGCGACGCCGCGUGAACGACGAAGUCUUUCGGGAUGUAAAGUUCUUUCGGUGGGGAAGAUAAUGACGGUACCCACAGAAGAAGGCCCGGCUAACUACGUGCCAGCAGCCGCGGUAAUACGUAGGGGCCAAGCGUUGUCCGGAUUUACUGGGCGUAAAGCGCAUGCAGGCGGCAUGUUAAGUCAGGUGUUAAAUCUAGAGGCUCAACCUCUAGUCGCACCUGAUACUGGCGUGCUAGAGUCUGGGAGAGGGAAGCGGAACUCACGGUGUAGCGGUGAAAUGCGUAGAUAUCGUGAGGAACACCAGUGGCGAAGGCGGCUUCCUGGCCCGGUACUGACGCUCAGAUGCGAAAGCGUGGGUAGCGAACGGGAUUAGAUACCCCGGUAGUCCACGCCCUAAACAAUGUUCAUUAGGUGUAGGAGGUAUCGACCCCUUCUGUGCCGGAGCUAACGCGUUAAAUGAACCGCCUGGGGAGUACGGCCGCAAGGCUAAAACUCAAAGGAAUUGACGGGGGCCCGCACAAGCAGUGGAGCAUGUGGUUUAAUUCGACGAUACGCGAAAAACCUUACCAGGUCUUGACAUCCAUAGGAAUCCUGAUGAAAAUCGGGAGUGCCUUUCGGGGAACCUUUGGACAGGUGGUGCAUGGCUGUCGUCAGCUCGUGUCGUGAGAUGUUGGGUUAAGUCCCGCAACGAGCGCAACCCGCGUCCUAUGUUGCCACUCCUUUAUUGGAAGCACUCAUGGGAGACUGCCUGCGAUAAGUGGGAGGAAGGCGCGGACGAGGUCAAGUCAUCAUGCCCCUUAUGGUCUGGGCUACACACAUGCUACAAUGGCUGGUACAAAGGGAAGCCAACUCGCAAGAGGGAGCUAACCCCAGAAAACCAGUCUCAGUUCGGAUUGCAGGCUGCAAUUCGCCUGCAUGAAGUUGGAAUUGCUAGUAAACACAGAUCAGCACGCUGUGUUGAAUACGUUCCCGGGCCUUGUACACACCGCCCGUCACACCAUGAAAGCCGG
rnacentral:rRNA from 1 species